UACGGAGGGGGCAAGCGUUGUCCGGAUUCAUUGGGCGUAAAGAGCGUGUAGGCGGCCAGGUAGGUCGGUUGUGAAAACUGGAGGCUCAACCUUCAGAGGUCGACCGAAACUAUCUGGCUAGAGUCCGGGAGAGGAGAGUGGAAUUCCUGGUGUAGCGGUGAAAUGCGCAGAUAUCAGGAAGAACACCCGUGGCGAAAGCGGCUCUCUGGAACGGUACUGACGCUGAGACGCGAAAGCGUGGGGAGCGAACAGG
rnacentral:rRNA from 1 species